UACGGGGGGGCAAGCGUUGUUCGGAAUUACUGGGCGUAAAGGGCUCGUAGGCGGCCAACUAAGUCAGACGUGAAAUCCCUCGGCUUAACCGGGGACUGCGUCUGAUACUGGAUGGCUUGAGUGUGGGAGAGGGAUGCGGAAUUCCAGGUGGUAGCGGUGAAAUGCGUAGAUAUCAGGAGGAACACCGGUGGCGAAGGCGGCUCUCUGGACGGUGACUGACGGCUGAGACGCGAAAGCGUGGGGAGCAAACAGG
rnacentral:rRNA from 1 species